UACGUAGGUGGCAAGCGUUGUCCGGAUUUAUUGGGUUUAAAGGGUGCGUAGGCGGUUAAUUAAGUCAGUCGUUAAAGGCAGCAGCUUAACUGUUGUAAGGCGAUUGAUACUGAUUGACUUGAAUUCUUUAGAGGUAGCUGGAAUACGUAGUGUAGAGGUGAAAUUCAUAGAUAUUACGUAGAACACCGAUUGCGGAGGCAUGUUACUAUAAAGAGAUUGACGCUGAGGCACGAAAGCGUGGGGAGCAAACAGG
rnacentral:rRNA from 1 species